CUGGAGCUUGCCAAUCACAUGACAAGCCAAAUGAUAUUUCCAAUCAUGAUGAAGGUUACCAAGAGAAGGAUGGCUGUAAUAAGACAUUCUUUUACAGGGGUCAUCUCUCCCGACAUGCCUGGACCACCCACGUUGGCCAGAAACCUUAUGACUGCCGAUAUAUGACAAGGUUUCCCGAGCAGAGCCAUCUUGAAAACCAUGUGAUCGUCCUCACAUGAGAAAAGUCAGACCCAUGUCUGCACUUCAUGAGAAGAUUUUACUAAGGAUUCGAAAUGAAGUCUGGAGCUUGCCAAUCACCUGACGAGCCAAAUGAUAUUUCCAAUCAUGAUGAAGGUUAUCAAGAGAAGGAUGGCUGUAAUAAGACAUUCUUUUACAGGGGUCAUCUCUCCCGACAUGCCUGGACCACCCACGUUGGCCAGAAACCUUAUGACUGCCGAUAUAUGACAAGGUUUCCCGAGCAGAGCCAUCUUGAAAACCAUGUGAUCGUCCUCACAUGAGAAAAGUCAGACCCAUGUCUGCACUUCAUGAGAAGAUUUUACUAAGGAUGUGAAAUGAAGUCUGGAGCUUGCCAAUCACCUGACGAGCCAAAUGAUAUUUCCAAUCAUGAUGAAGGUUACCAAGAGAAGGAUGGCUGUAAUAAGACAUUCUUUUACAGGGGUCAUCUCUCCCGACAUGCCAGGACCACCUACGUUGGCCAGAAACCUUAUGACUGCCGAUGUAUGAUAUGGUUUCCCGAGCAAAGCCAUCUUGAAAACCGUGUGAUCGUCCUCACGUGAGAAAAGUCAGACCCAUGUCUGCACUUCAUGAGAAGAUUUUACUAAGGGUAAGAUUUUACUAAGGGUAAGAUUUUACUAAUGGUAAGAUUUUAC